rnacentral:lncRNA from 1 species
GCUAACUGUGGUUCUUACUUCCCAAAGGCAAUCAAUAAAACCCAAUUGAUUGAAUUUCUUUGUAAUGGAUUAAUACUUCCAAUUUCAUCAUGGCUUCUCAGCAAAUAAUCUUAAUGAUGCAACUGGUACCGAGAAUUAAAGAAUCUCAUGUCCUAACACUAAAGCUACUCCGUAUUAGAAGGGUCCCGAAAGGCACUUUACAUUGUAAAUGUCCUUAUGUUUAAAGAAUACAUUGUGUGGAAAACAUGGAUGUAAGGAUAACAGAGGAUCGGUGCCAGUAACAUGCAUGUUAGUACUGUUGUCCCCAAGUAAGAAUGUGAUCCUAGAGAGAGUUAUCAAUUUUGUGUCUGUACUUUGUCAAGAGUAAACUUUUGGUGGUUGGAAGACUAAAGUGUGG